rnacentral:rRNA from 1 species
GCAAGCUUAACACAUGCAAGUCGAACGGAUUAUCUUUUAUAGCUUGCUAUGGAGGAUAAUUAGUGGCAGACGGGUGAGUAAUGCAUAGGAAUCUACCUAGUAGUAUGGGAUAGCCACUAGAAAUGGUGGGUAAUACUGUAUAAUCCCUGCGGGGGAAAGAUUUAUCGCUAUUAGAUGAGCCUAUGUUAGAUUAGCUAGUUGGUAGGGUAAAGGCCUACCAAGGCGAUGAUCUAUAGCUGGUCUGAGAGGAUGAUCAGCCACACUGGAACUGAGAUAGGGUCCAGACUCCUACGGGAGGCAGCAGUGGGGAAUAUUGGACAAUGGGCGCAAGCCUGAUCCAGCUAUGCCGCGUGAGUGAGGAAGGCCUUAGGGUUGUAAAACUCUUUCAGUAGGGAAGAUAAUGACGGUACCUACAGAAGAAGUCCCGGCAUACUCCGUGCCAGCAGCCGCGGUAAUACGGAGGGGGCAAGCGUUGUUCGGAAUUAUUGGGCGUAAAGGGUAUGUAGGCGGUUCGGUAAGUUAAAGGUGAAAUGCCAGGGCUUAAC